GAUGAACGCUAGCUACAGGCUUAACACAUGCAAGUCGAGGGGAAACGGCAUUGAGUGCUUGCACUCUUUGGACGUCGACCGGCGCACGGGUGAGUAACGCGUAUCCAACCCUCCCAUUACUGUGGGAUAACCUGCCGAAAGGCAGACUAAUACCGCAUAGUCUUCGAUGACGGCAUCAGAUUUGAAGUAAAGAUUUAUCGGUAAUGGAUGGGGAUGCGUCUGAUUAGCUUGUUGGCGGGGUAACGGCCCACCAAGGCUACGAUCAGUAGGGGUUCUGAGAGGAAGGUCCCCCACAUUGGAACUGAGACACGGUCCAAACUCCUACGGGAGGCAGCAGUGAGGAAUAUUGGUCAAUGGACGGAAGUCUGAACCAGCCAAGUAGCGUGCAGGAUGACGGCCCUAUGGGUUGUAAACUGCUUUUGUAUGGGGAUAAAGUUAGGGACGUGUCCCUAUUUGCAGGUACCAUACGAAUAAGGACCGGCUAAUUCCGUG
rnacentral:rRNA from 1 species